UGACCCAAUGCCUUUGUGGGUGCUUCUAGA
rnacentral:piRNA from 1 species